CUUAAGUUUGAUCGAUAUAUAUACACUCAAACAGUAUAAGGUAUCACCAGAACAAUUAUGAAGGUCAAGUUCUGUUUGAUUGCUUCGCUUAUGAUUCUCUCUUUGGCGAUUUCGUCAUACGUCGUUUUAGUUCAAUCAUACGAAUCCGAAGAAGAAACAAUAGCAGAAACGAUUCACAUUCGAAAGAUAAUGAAGAUCGGAGCUCCUCGUAGUAAGUCACCACCUGAUCGCCAAUGGGAUGGGAGUGACUCGCCACUACCCGCCUAAGGCGAUGGCUAUACGACUUGUGGUUACAUCGUAUAAUCUCAAAUAUAUCUUCCAAAUUUGUGAACCUUAUAAUAUAGUUUAUGUAAAGUACAAGAUACUUAAAAGAAAACCAAUGGCCAGUUCCUAUGUGUUUUUGAUUAUU